rnacentral:misc_RNA from 1 species
CCGAGUUUACCAACUCCCAAACCCCUGUGAACAUACCUGAACGUUGCCUCGGCGGGACCGCCCCGGCGCCCAUCGCGCGGCCCGGAACCAGGCGCCCGCCGGAGGACCCAAACUCUCUGCUUUCCCCAACAGUGGAAUUUGCUCUCUGAGUCUCAAAACAAACAAAUGAAUCA